GUUGUGGUGGCUCAGUGGUUAAGGCUUUGAUUCAUACAUCAGAAGUUUGUGUGUUCAAAUCCCAGCACCG